rnacentral:rRNA from 1 species
GCCAGACUCCUACGGGAGGCAGCAGUGGGGGAUAUUGCACAAUGGGGGGAACCCUGAUGCAGCGACGCCGCGUGGGUGAAGGAGUAUUUCGGUAUGUAAAGCCCUAUCGGCAGGGAAGAAGCAAGACGGUACCUGACUAAGAAGCCCCGGCUAACUACGUGCCAGCAGCCGCGGUAAUACGUAGGGGGCGAGCGUUAUCCGGAUUCACUGGGUGUAAAGGGAGCGUAGACGGCCAAGCAAGCCAGGGGUGAAAGCCCGGGGCCCAACCCCGGGACUGCUCUUGGAACUGCGCGGCUGGAGUGCAGGAGGGGCAGGCGGAAUUCCUAGUGUAGCGGUGAAAUGCGUAGAUAUUAGGAGGAACACCGGCGGCGAAGGCGGCCUGCUGGACCGUAACUGACGUUGAGGCUCGAAAGCGUGGGGAGCAAACAGGAUUAGAUACCCGUGUA